rnacentral:lncRNA from 1 species
GGCUCUGCAGCAAGGGCAGGAUACAAAACCUGCAGGAUGUAACACUGUUCAACAACAAAAGAAUCAGACUGAAACAUUUGUGCCAGAGGAACUAUGUUUAAUUGUUUGGAAAACAGGAGUGAAAGAGGGAGGUGGUAAGAAAGGUGCCUGGCCUGCUGCCCAAGCUUCCGAGAAGCAGACGGUGAUCCGAGAAGCAGACGGUGAUAUAAAUACAAGUCAGUAGGGACGGUUACACGGUUAAGAACCAGAUCCUUGUCUGAGGUGGAAAUUGCAGCUGAUAAUUAAUAAGAGGUGGAGAUUGAAGAAGCCACCCUCCUGGUGCUUGAGGGGGUGGGCAUUUCUGUUGGCACUUGGGCGCAUAAGACUCCUUGCACUUGGGUGGAGGCUGACAAGGCUGCUUGGUUUGCUGAGGUGGAGGACAGCACUGCUGGGGUGGGGGAGCACACUGCUGGGGUGGGGGAGCACACUGCUGGGGUGGGGGAGCACACUGCUGGGGUGGAGGAGCACACUGCUGGGGUGGAGGGCAGCAUUGCUGGGGGGGAGCACACUGCUUCUGCUUCUGCUGAGACAUUCUGGGUUGAUGCACAACUGGAAACAGAAAAACACAGAAGUGAGGAGCACCCUCACCACAGAGAUACUCUGGGCCCCAGGCUGGGUUGGGGGGGGGGACCUUCUGCCACAUUCACAUCCUGCUCUGCUUCUACUUUGCCUUGGUGGCUUCACAACUUAAGGUGUGUGUGUGUAAAUGUGUGUGUGAGAAUAAGUUGUGGCUAAAAGUUUGUAAGUCAUUUGAAUUCUUUUUGAGACAGAGAAACAUGGAAGGAAGGAGGUAGGAAAGGAACAGGAGAAAAAGGGAGAAGGGAAAGAGGGAGAAGGAAAGACAUGGAGGGCAAGAACAAAAAGAAUAUACUUUUAUGGCAAAACUAUGGAAUGUGCAACAAGAUUGCCUGGGAUCAGAGUCCUGGCUAAUCAUUAACCUGCUGUGUGACUUUGAGCAAGUUACUUAGCCUCUCUGUACUCACAUCUCUUAGGGUUGUUGAGAUUAAAUGAGUACAUAAAAUACAUACAUAUAAACAUGCAUGCCUACAUACAUGUACAUGUGUGUGUGCACACCUGCAACCACACAGAGUACCUGGCACAUGAUGAACACAGCAUAAGGAUUUUGAUUUAUUAAAUUUCUAAAAGCAACUCUUUUCUCUAAGAGAAUUAUAGAAAAGAGGAAUCUAGAGACAAAAUGUAUCUUUUAGCUUGACUCUUAACUACAGUUGAAGAAAAUGGACCUCAGAGAGGGAAGUAAUUAGUCUCCAGUCACACAGCACAAGUGGGUGUAACAGUGGUCCUCAAUUCCCGGACAGGACCUUGCCCCUGUGCCACAUCAUCCUGUCCCUGCUGUUCUGUGCUCCUCGGGGUCUCUGCACCCCUGUCCCCAAUGCAGCCUUCUUCUCUCCCACCCUAUAAUUACCUUUUCCAUAAAAGGCAACUCUGCCAGCUGCUAUGUCUCAUAGCUGGCACACCCGCUCCUUCUACUAACCCCCUUUCAACACCUGGCAAGACCCAACACCUGUAAUACAACCAGCAGGAUCCUCAAGGCACCGGCCUGAGGCUUUCUUCUCCCAUCCCAGCCUAGCCCCCACACCCCUUGGCUGGAUGGCUUGCAGACCGCUACAGGUUGGUCCCCAAUAAUACAGAAAAGAGAGAUGCUAAAUGAGGUCUUUCCGGCCAACCACCCA